rnacentral:lncRNA from 1 species
AACAAAUGGCCAUUGAGACCAAUUCUUUUGAUUGAGCUUGCCUAAAUAUCAUUGUCUAACAUGUUUUGUUUUGUAGGUGGCUUGGCUCACAUGCCUUAAGCCUUGUGCCUUGCACAUUCACUUGCUUGUGUUGACUGGUUGAUGUCUAUUUCUUUUUACUUUGUUUGAAGUUGCAUACUAACAUCUGCUUGACUGUUUCAGGUGCUUUAGUUGCUUAGUUCCUUGUGAACUUUUUGCUUUGCUUUGCUUGUAUAAGCAAUUUGCAUUGAGGUAUGUCUCUUCUUCUUCAUGUAGUCUGGAAGACCUGGCCUGUUACUUGGCCAGGCAACUGUCUGAAGUCCUCCUUAAG